UCAACAACGGAUCUCUUGGUUCUGGCAUCGAUGAAGAACGCAGCGAAAUGCGAUAAGUAAUGUGAAUUGCAGAAUUCAGUGAAUCAUCGAAUCUUUGAACGCACAUUGCGCCCGUCAGUAUUCUGGCGGGCAUGCCUGUUCGAGCGU
rnacentral:rRNA from 1 species